UUGGAGGGCAAGUCUGGUGCCAGCAGCCGCGGUAAUUCCAGCUCCAAUAGCGUAUAUUAAAGUUGUUGCAGUUAAAAAGCUCGUAGUUGAAUUUCAGGCCUGGCUGGACGGUCCGCCCUUCGGGUGAGUACUGUCUGUGGUCGGGUCCUACCUUCUGGCGAAGCGUCAUGGCCUUAACCGGCCGUGGCGGGGAACCAGGACUUUUACUGUGAAAAAAUUAGAGUGUUCAAAGCAGGCAAUCGCUUGGAUACAUUAGCAUGGAAUAAUGGAAUAGGACAAUGGUUCUAUUUGUUGGUUUCUAGGACCGUUGUAAUGAUUAAUAGGGAUAGUUGGGGGCAUUAGUAUUCAACUGUCAGAGGUGAAAUUCUUGGAUUUAUUGAAGACUAACUACUGCGAAAGCAUUUGCCAAGGAUGUUUUCAUUAAUCAAGAACGAAAGUUAGGGGAUCGAAGACGAUCAGAUACCGUCGUAGUCUUAACCAUAAACUAUGCCGACUAGGAAUCGGGCGAUGUUGAAAAAAUGACGCGCUCGGCACCCUAUGGGAAACCAAAG
rnacentral:rRNA from 1 species